UGGUGUUGUGCUAAACCAUCCAGGUUAUUUUGACAAAAGCACUAAAUGAAUGCACAUGUGCCAAGGCAAUUGAGAAGGAUCUGUGCUAUUUUGACUGUACUGAGCUUUUAUAUGGGAAAUAAAUCUGCUUUUGAAGCAUGGACGAAGAGUUUGUGGAAAGACAUUUGAUUUUGCCAGUGAGCUAUAAUGUUGGGCAGCACUGUCAGACUGUUUGGCCAAAUGACCUUAUGGUUUUGAGAAUGUCAUCUCGGUUUCAGGAAAUGAGCCAAACCAAUCGAGAAAAACUGUAAUAUCAAGCACGCAGGACAUAGAAACAAUGAGCCAACAAGAGACACAGAACUGAAGGGGUUUAAAUACAAGAGGGCUGGGAGCUUGGGUGAUUGGAAAACGAGAGGCAGGUGGGAGCAAUUAACAGAGACACAUGGCUGAACCAAAUGGGGAGACAGGACAGGGUGUGACAUUAACAAUGAAGCUUCUAUUAUAUAUAAAUAUCUAGGAUAUUAUAUAUUCGAUAGAAGUUCAUAUGCCAACGAGCUUGGUCUAAUUUUAAUCCAAAGAUUAAUGUUUAAUUUAAGAUAAUUAAAUUUGAUAGCAAAAGUUUAUUUAAUCAGAAGUUAAAGGAAUCUUUGCUUUUUCAAUAACCAGAAAUAUACACCAUUCUGUGUUUAAUUUCAAGAAGAGAGUCAAGUUUUAAAGUUAAGAAUUUAUUACUAACAAUUUUAAACUUUACAAUUUGGAACGACAAUUCAGAAUUGACAAUUUAAAUGACAAUUAAAAAUUGACAAUUUAAAUGACAAUUUACCAGCUUUGAUAUUAAAACUUGUUUUAAAGACAAACCUGUGACUGGAUGGAAAUCUAAAAUGAAAUGAGAGCUUGGAUGCGUGGAUGGAUUCUCUGAAGGUUUCUUUCAGAGAGAGAAGCUCGUUCUGGGUGAAAUGAUGGUUUUGCAGCUAACUGUUGUUACUUAGAGAAACAGCAUCAGACGUCAUCUGUCGAAAGUGUCUACCUCACCCAGUUUCAGGAGACCCCCUUCUGGAUCCGAGAUGUCAGGUGGAGAUGAUUUCCUCCGGGCACGAGGCUGGUAGAAGGACCUCAAUGCGACCAAAUCAGUCCUGGGAUGUCUCCGUGGGUCACACGACUGAUGAAACUAUUUGCGUCUCAAAAUCAAUAACUCUGAAGGAGUUUUGCGUCAGCUGGUUAUCGUGCGUUUAUUUAAAGCUAUUCUAUCAGCAUGACACACAGGUGGAGAUUCGGGGGGCUUCCCUCGUCUCCUGUGAUGGUGGUUGGUUCACAAACUGAACUUUUGCUGCUGGAAAUUUAGUUUUAACAAACUCCUCAGAACACGCCCACUCUCAGAGCAAGAAAGCUUUGGUCAUGAGUGGAAGACGUGAUGGCAGAUUACCUUUUACUCUGGAUAAGCUCUGUGUUAGAUGGAUAAAGUGGAAGUUGACCUUCUAGUUUACUGAACACACAUAACCGAAUAUCAACCAUAAUCAUAAUUAUACCCAAAGCAUAAUAAUUCAUUACUUUUACUGAAACAAGUGAUUAUUUAUGAUGAUUGUAAUAAACAGUAAUAAAGUCAAAGAGUUUAUUAAAAAUAUUAUUUAAAUUAUUAUUGUGAAACUUGAAGUGUCCUUCUUCUGGGACGGAAUAGCAGCAGAUGAGGAUGAUAUUCAGCCGACAUCAUGGCUCCUCGCUUGUUUAAUCUGUGGGGCAAAGUUACAGUCGACCCAGCUUUGACCUAGCUGGGAAAAUGUGACCUUUGUCACAAAUAAGAGGACCUUUGUGAUGCUACACACUCAAACAUUAAGUCUUGCAAGCAGAAACUCAAAUUACAGUCAGUAAAACAACCUACAAUUAAUAAAGUAUAAAAUAAAAUAAAACAAUACUAAAAAAUCUAAACAGUCUUCUUCUGACAGGAACUCUUCAGUAAGUUUAUGCAUCACACAAAACAUUUCAAACUUGGUCUGCAUUUGCUGCCUUGGACUCAGUUUUCCUAGAAACUGUACAACCAUUCUGUCAGGUACUGGGUUUGUGGGUUCACAUUUCCUCUUCACAGGUUGUUGGAGGGCUAGGGAGACUCAUAAGGAGACUCCAUCCAGCUAAUUACCUCGGCUGCAGAGUCACCCUUCUCACCUGCAGCCCAUCAUGUAAUUAGACGGGAGGAAUAAAGGAGCCAGUGAACCAGCCACUCAGCGCCAGAUUGUUUGCCUUAGUGGUAACGUCCAGCCACCUGAAUCUGUUCCUGUUUUAUUCUAGUCUGUUCCCUGAAACCUCUGUCUGUCAUCACAGGAUUCCUAGAACCCGUUCUGGAUUACACCUUUGUGUGGAAGUCUCAUACCAGCCUCUGCAGCUCCCGGAUCUCCUGAACCACGGCUGAAUCCUCCCUGGCUCUGUUCUCCUCCCGUGCGUCUCCUGUUCACCCUCCAACAACCUGCCUCACUUCUCCGAACCUCCACAUCUACCCACAGCCCCGGUACCGGCUCACCUCUCCCACGCUCCGCUACAACCAAAUCUCAUGAUCCAAUCUCUAGCUCCGGAACCAGCCCAUCCCUGCCAGCCUCCGCUCACCUCUAAUAAACUAUUUUUUACUACA